AUUGAACGCUGGCGGCAGGCCUAACACAUGCAAGUCGAGCGGUAGAGAGGAGCUUGCUUCUCUUGAGAGCGACGGACGGGUGAGUAAUGCCUAGGAAUCUGCCUAGUGGUGGGGGAUAACGUUCGGAAACGGACGCUAAUACCGCAUACGUCCUACGGGAGAAAGCGGGGGAUCUUCGGACCUCGCGCCAUUAGAUGAGCCUAGGUCGGAUUAGCUAGUUGGUGAGGUAAUGGCUCACCAAGGCGACGAUCCGUAACUGGUCUGAGAGGAUGAUCAGUCACACUGGAACUGAGACACGGUCCAGACUCCUACGGGAGGCAGCAGUGGGGAAUAUUGGACAAUGGGCGAAAGCCUGAUCCAGCCAUGCCGCGUGUGUGAAGAAGGUCUUCGGAUUGUAAAGCACUUUAAGUUGGGAGGAAGGGUAGUAACCUAAUACGUUGCUACUUUGACGUUACCGACAGAAUAAGCACCGGCUAACUUCGUGCCAGCCGCCGCCGUAAGAC
rnacentral:rRNA from 1 species